CAUGCAAGUCGAACGAUGAAGCCAGCUUGCUGGUGGAUUAGUGGCGAACGGGUGAGUAACACGUGAGUAACCUGCCCUUAACUCUGGGAUAAGCCUGGGAAACUGGGUCUAAUACCGGAUAUGACUCCUCAUCGCAUGGUGGGGGGUGGAAAGCUUUUUGUGGUUUUGGAUGGACUCGCGGCCUAUCAGCUUGUUGGUGAGGUAAUGGCUCACCAAGGCGACGACGGGUAGCCGGCCUGAGAGGGUGACCGGCCACACUGGGACUGAGACACGGCCCAGACUCCUACGGGAGGCAGCAGUGGGGAAUAUUGCACAAUGGGCGCAAGCCUGAUGCAGCGACGCCGCGUGAGGGAUGACGGCCUUCGGGUUGUAAACCUCUUUCAGUAGGGAAGAAGCGAAAGUGACGGUACCUGCAGAAGAAGCGCCGGCUAACUACGUGCCAGCAGCCGCGGUAAUACGUAGGGCGCAAGCGUUAUCCGGAAUUAUUGGGCGUAAAGAGCUCGUAGGCGGUUUGUCGCGUCUGCCGUGAAAGUCCGGGGCUCAACUCCGGAUCUGCGGUGGGUACGGGCAGACUAGAGUGAUGUAGGGGAGACUGGAAUUCCUGGUGUAGCGGUGAAAUGCGCAGAUAUCAGGAGGAACACCGAUGGCGAAGGCAGGUCUCUGGGCAUUAACUGACGCUGAGGAGCGAAAGCAUGGGGAGCGAACAGGAUUAGAUACCCUGGUAGUCCAUGCCGUAAACGUUGGGCACUAGGUGUGG
rnacentral:rRNA from 1 species